AGUCGAGCGGUAGCACAGAGAAGCUUGCUUCUUGGGUGACGAGCGGCGGACGGGUGAGUAAUGCAUAGGAAUCUGCCCGAUAGUGGGGGAUAACCUGGGGAAACCCAGGCUACUACCGCAUACGUCCUACGGGAGAAAGGGGGCUUCGGCUCCCGCUAUUGGAUGAGCCUAUGUCGGAUUAGCUAGUUGGUGAGGUAAAGGCUCACCAAGGCGACGAUCCGUAGCUGGUCUGAAAGGAUGAUCAGCCACAUCGGGACUGAGACACGGACCGAACUCCUACGGGAGGCAGCAGUGGGGAAUAUUGGACAAUGGGCGCAAGCCUGAUCCAGCCAUGCCGCGUGCGUGAAGAAGGCCUUCGGGUUGUAAAGCACUUUCAGCGAGGAAGAACGCCUAGCGGUUAAUACCCGCUAGGAAAGACAUCACUCGCAGAAGAAGCACCGGCUAACUCCGUGCCAGCAGCCGCGGUAAUACGGAGGGUGCGAGCGUUAAUCGGAAUUACUGGGCGUAAAGCGCGCGUAGGUGGCUUGAUGAGCCGGUUGUGAAAGCCCCGGGCUCAACCUGGGAACGGCAUCCGGAACUGUCAAGCUAGAGUGCAUGAGAGGAAGGUAGAAUUCCCGGUGUAGCGGUGAAAUGCGUAGAGAUCGGGAGGAAUACCAGUGGCGAAGGCGGCCUUCUGGACUGACACUGACACUGAGGUGCGAAAGCGUGGGUA
rnacentral:rRNA from 1 species